UCGCGCUAGUUAGAUUUCGGCCUAAUCGGAACCAAUGCCGUUCUCCCAAACUCUCGAUCGUAUUAGGUGAAAGGAAAUCUCGGUCGCCAAGAAAUUGUUUGCUUGUGAUUUGUGAUUUCCACAAUGGAAGCAUAAGCGAAGGAGUAUUGCAAACAAGAUCAAUGGAUUCACGAAAUCUACCUCCGAAGGUUUGAAAAUUUUCCCAUUUUGAUAAUUCCUUUAUCAGGUUUUUGUUGAGAUUUUAUUGCGAUUAUUGUUCCAUUCUCCUGUUCGAUAUUUCGAUUGGGUGGGUUAGGUCAUGGGAAUCGAAUGUUUCUGUUUGUUUGUUGCGACUGUUUGGUGCGAAUCGAUCGAUUUCAACGAUUCUAGGGUUUUAUUCAGGGCUUUAUUAGCUAUUCAGGAGUAAUUCUGCUAAUUACUUAAAGACGCAAUGUCGAAGGUGUGAAGAUUACGAUGUCAGAGAGUCGGAAAAGAUGGAACUACAUGCUCAGGAUCGGCUUCAUCUGGAUCGUGAUUGAUAUGGUAAGUCCCGACGGGAGACACUGGAUCGAUCUCCGUGUCUUAGGAGAAGUUUGAGCCCUCACGGAAUUGAUGGCUCCGGACGCGAAGUAGGAUUUGGUUCAUAGGGUUGAUACCACUGAAAGGAGGGACGAGCAUUGGCAUCUGAGAACUGGCAGGAACGAUGUCAUUGGGUCAAGUUCACAUUCUUAUGGUCAAGCGAGGAAAAUGCCCAACUACGAGGAAGUGUUCCUGCACAAUGAUCACAGCCAAGGGAAUUUUCUGCUGUCAACAAAGUUGUGAUUAUAAGCAUGUCGUUCGGUAUAGGCAUGAUGAUUAUAAGCAUCUCGUUCGGUAUAGGCAUGAUGAUUUGAGAAUUAGGAAAGAAAGAGAAAUUAUUGAAGGGAGAUGUUCAAAUGUGGACAAAGGAUGACGGAUCAGAAACCUUUGGCUUUGAAAAAGGGCACCGCAAUGGAUAUCGGUCGUACAUCAAUUUAUACAGACUUCUUACCAUUUUCCCAGGGUUUUGAUGUGCGAAUUCAAUGAAAGACUCAACUUUUGAAACCAUGUAGUUUAGGAUAAACCUCAAGUCUCAUGUUCACUUGAAUUUGAAGAAAGCUGGAGGUUUAAUUUAAGGAAUAUUGGAUAUUCUACCAAGGAAGUGAGAGCUCUUCGUCAGGACACUGUAAUAUGGGUUCCUGAGAUCUUGCCAAAGGAAGAAGCAGUGGUUCACAAGGAGGAUCUUAUCAUCUGGCCUCCUGUUAUUAUCGUCUGCAACAUUUUUCUGUCACACAGCAAUCCCGAUAAGCGGAGAGUUGUAACGAUUGAAGCUCUCGAGUCUUUCUUAAGAAGUAAAAAUCUGCUGAGGGGAAGAGUGAAGAUGAAUUUGAGGGUGUCCUGCAGAUGGAAGUGUAAUGGUGUUGAAGUUCCUGCCCACCGUUUCUGGUUGACGGAUGCAGAAAGAUUCGACAAUUCUUUUCUGAAAGGAGAGGUGGAAGAGUGAGUUUUGAGCUGGCUGGCAAAGUGCAAAAAUGGCGAAGGUAAUGAUUCGAAAUCCAAGUCCCAAUGUUGUUUUCCAGGGGAAUAUUGUGAUAUUGGAAGGAGAAAAUACGAUGUCGAAAAAUCCAUCUAUGAGUGAAACCAUUUUACGGUGCUCCUCACAACAUUUCUCAAACACAAUGUCGAACAAUGUCGAAAAAUAUCAACCGUGACUCGGUCUAUGUUUUAUCCCGUGUGGGGGAGUGAUAAUGGUGGGAAACAAAAUGGAGGAAAUAUACCUGGGAAUUGCAGAGCAUUUGGAUGGCGUUGAGUUCAUUGCAAGGAAGUUGAGUAUGAAAGAGCAGCU